ACACUCCUACGGGAGGCAGCAGUGGGGAAUAUUGGACAAUGGGCGCAAGCCUGAUCCAGCCAUGCCGCGUGAGUGAUGAAGGCCCUAGGGUUGUAAAGCUCUUUUGUGCGGGAAGAUAAUGACGGUACCGCAAGAAUAAGCCCCGGCUAACUUCGUGCCAGCAGCCGCGGUAAUACGAAGGGGGCUAGCGUUGCUCGGAAUCACUGGGCGUAAAGGGUGCGUAGGCGGGUCUUUAAGUCAGGGGUGAAAUCCUGGAGCUCAACUCCAGAACUGCCUUUGAUACUGAAGAUCGUGAGGUCGGGAGAGGUGAGUGGAACUGCGAGUGUAGAGGUGAAAUUCGUAGAUAUUCGCAAGAACACCAGUGGCGGAGGCGGCUCACUGGCCCGAUACUGACGCUGAGGCACGAAAGCGUGGGGAGCAAACAGGAUUAGAAACCCUUGUAGUCCCAUG
rnacentral:rRNA from 1 species